rnacentral:misc_RNA from 1 species
GAUCUUCAUCUCCUCAGCGAGGGCCUUCUCCACAUCCGAGUUUGGAGCUGGGCUGAGCUUCGUGAUGGCCACAACAUGCUCGGGCAGUCGCUCCCCUUGCGCGAUAGUUACCUUCUUUGCACUGCUUUUGUAGAUGAUGUAAAUCACCAUCUGAGCGACUCCGAAGCUGAAGCCUAGUAUGUUUGGAAUCGCAACAUAGAUGUCUUUGGUGAGGAGGCCGUAUGUGAACCAAACGACCGCGCUCAAAGUGAGGAAAAAGGAGAGGGAGAAGGGCAUGAACUCCACGCUCCUUGUUCUGAUUACAAGCUUAAUUAUGCUAAGGGGAGCCGCGAAAACGCUAACAGAGAAGCUGACACAAAUCCAUCCA